UGUUUUUUACUGACAUACUUCGUGUGUUGAAACUGCUAUCCAUUUUUUCCAAAAUGUCUCUAGUUCGUUUCGUCACAUGCGGAACACUUUCAGAACAAUUAAAGUAAUUAUAGUUGAUCGCUACAGAUUUAGUUAAUGACAAGAGAGUAGAUCCCUUUGCUCCUCUGUUGCAAUUAUGAGUUAAGACCAUUAUGGAAAUGUGGAUUACAUUUGUUAUUUUCAAGUUGGAAAACUUUACAACUACGAAUUCCUUUGUAAGAUUUAUCAAGCCAGGUGAAGUCUGCGCUUCUUUGUUGCAGUCUUAUGUGAACAUGGAUUGUUUGCAGUCAUCCAGUGAAAGGUGUGAUUAAAUUGAGCUGUUGCAUGCAGUCUUUGGUGCUGAUGUUGUCCUGGAGUGUGGGAGAGUUCCAUGCUUCAAGUCUUCUGGGAUCAGCCAUAUCUGAGUUGACACUGGAUCAUGCUGCAUUGUGGUUGCCGAAAUGUUGGACAUCUAGUUCUAGUAGAACUGCAAGAAGACUCUUUGAAAUGGUUUAUGUUUACGUAGCAGUGAUGUUAACUGUCCAAUAUGGCAUGUUGUUGCAGCCUAUACU